rnacentral:rRNA from 1 species
AACCAGCACCUCGAGUGGUCAGGAGUUUUAUUGGGCCUAAAGCAUCCGUAGCCGGUUGUUUAAGUUUUCGGUUAAAUCUAUGCGCUUAACGUAUAGGCUGCCGAAAAUACUGGACAGCUAGGGAGUGGGAGAGGUACACGGUACUCGAUAGGAAGGGGUAAAAUCCUUUGAUCUAUUGAUGACCACCUGUGGCGAAGGCGGUGUACCAGAACACGUUCGACGGUGAGGGAUGAAAGCUGGGGGAGCACACCGG